rnacentral:misc_RNA from 1 species
CGCACAUUGCGCCCCUUGGUAUUCCGAGGGGCAUGCCUGUUCGAGCGUCAUUAUCACCCCUCAAGCCUAGCUUGGUGUUGGAUUUAGUUGUACUUCCAUGUAUGACUGAUCUCAAAAGUAGUGACGGCGUCCUAGAAGGAACCGGUACGAGGAGCUUCUAAUCAAGCAUGUACAUGGCAGGAUUCUACGGGCGGCGGUCUUUUUUACUUUAAAAAAUUACAAGUGUUGACCUCGGAUCAGGUAGGAAUACCCGCUGAACUUAA